AAAGAUGAUCAGGUUGAUAGGUCUGAGGUGGAAGUGUGGCGACACAUGGAGCUGACAGAUACUAAUCGAUCGAGGACUUAACCAUAUUU
rnacentral:rRNA from 4 species